GACUCAGUGGUGCAGUGGUAGCACGCAUCCCGGAUAAGGGCGAUACGCAUGUUCAACUCCUGCCUGAGCUCG